UUAUUACUUGGCCAUGUUUAUUAAUACUCCAAUGGUUGUCACUUCAAACAAAACCUUCAUUAUUAAUAAACAAAAUGAUGAUACUAUAUAGGCUACUGGACUGCAAUGUAUUUGAUAGACAUCAACACACAGAUCUUUUAUUACAGAUCUAGAGCAUUUUUAUCAUCACAAAUAAUUGUGUUGUUGAUAUACAUUUUAAUAAGACCAAUUAUUAGGAACAGUAAUUCUUUGGAAGAUUCAACACUGCCAUCCAUAUGGAGAGUUUUUAAUCAUUUCUUUUAGUGUAAACAAUCAAAGUAAUCUUUUUUCAAAGUCAGAUAUCUUGCAUUCUUUGCUAACAAGAAAACUUCAACUCUUAGUCAAGACAAUGAAUGAAAUUGUGAAUGAAAUACUUGUAUUAUGUUAUCACAACUAAUUUAACCAAAUGAAUUGACUUCUAUAGAAGAAUAAUACUAUAUCUAUUAAACAUUUCAAGAUUUUAAAAAUUCUUUUAUCUCAUGUAGGCUAACAUUAAUUUACAAAAAAAAUUUUUCAUCUAUGUAGGUGUGUAGUGUGUGAACUUGCAACUGACUUUUUUUUUUUCUUU